AAGUCAGCGAGGCAACACACCAUCUGUUCGACAGUUCACACUGACAGCAAGAUGCACAGAUACAUACCGAGACACUGAGACGUGGGGAAAGUGGGGGUAGAUGGACUCUCGGAAGUGGAGAUUUCCAAAUAUUGGAAAAGUGUCAACACGGCAGGCUGGACGUAUAAUUCGGACACACAUGAUUUUACGGAGAUGCCAGUGAUCCUGAUUCUUUCUGCUCUCCGGUCCUGCCUGAUCCAUCCUGAUGCCCUACCUCAGGAUGAAGCUCUCAAUGGACAUUCUCACUAUAGUUGCUGGGACUACGGUUGCUACUAUGGAUUUGAGACUGCAAUUACUACAUGCGGUUUUGCACUCAGGUCUCCUUUAGUGAACGGUGGACUAGUUCAACAAACAGACUUCAUAUAAAACCGUAAUGAACUUUCUUUUACUUUCACACUAUCCGUUGUUACGGGUUCCCUUCCGAGUCCGGUUCCUCUCAAGGUUUCUCCCUCAUAUCAUCUUAGGGAGUUUUUCCUCACCACCGUUUCCACCGUCUCGCUCAAUAGGGAUAAAUCCACACGCUUAAAAUCUCCAUCCUGUGUUUAUAUGUGUCUGUAAGGCUGCUUUGAGAUAAUGUCCAUUGUUAAAAGCGCUAGACAAAUAAAAUAAAAUUGAAUUGAACUCAGACGGCAAACCAGUGACGCUUGUGGAUAAAGGCUUUAUAGGCUGAAAUCAACAGUACAAUAACUGUAGGUUGUAUUUUUAAAAGUGUCUAAUUAAAGUGAUUCAUUUUCCUGUUAGAUAGCCUACUACUUUCCAAACCACCUGAUGCAUAAUAAUAAUAAUAAUAAUAAUAAUAAUAAUAAUAAUAAUAAUAAGAGGAGGAAAACAUUGUGAUAGACAUCUUAUUAAGUUUCAGGCCCUGACUAAUAUCAAACCCCGAUCACAUCACAGCAAUGAUAGGAUUUCUUUUUAAAGAAGAAUUUCAAUUACUUUUUUAAUUUUUAUUAUUUAUCUUAAAACCAACGAGUUGUUGUAGUUGGAGAUCUAUUGGUUGAAGGGUUCGGUGAAAUCAUUACCUUCUUGUUCACAAAAUAAUAUUAAACUUUGCAUGUACUCUGUGUCCGUGUGAUUAGUGCUGUUUUGUUCCUUUCCUUUUUUUCUUUUUUUUUUCUUUCAGAGGUGAUGAACCCUAUAAAGGGUGCUUGAA